GCUGGGCAUGGUGAUGCAUGCCUUUAAUCCCAGCUACUGGGAGGCUGAGCAGAAUGAUCACAAGUUCAAGGUCAACCUGGACAAUUUAGUGAGACCCUGCCU
rnacentral:sRNA from 1 species